GAGUCUGCAACCCGACUCCACGAAGCUGGAUUCGCUAGUAAUCGCGCAUCAGCCACGGCGCGGUGAAUACGUUCCCGGGCCUUGUACACACCGCCCGUCAAGCCAUGGGAGCCGGGGGUACCUGAAGUGCGUAACCGCGAGGACUCGCCCUAGGGUAAACUGGUGACUCGGGGCUAAGUCGUAACAAGGUAGC
rnacentral:rRNA from 1 species